AUAGUACUGGAUCAAAGGACAAUACUAAUGUUACCACAUCUAACAUAUAAGUAAAGUAGUGCAAACAGAAGUCACUUCUCAUGCUAACACUUCUAAAAUGGUGCAAAAAGAAAUGAUAACGGAAAAUGUGAAAACUAGAAAAAAGAUGUUUUGUCUACGCAAGAGACUUCACUUCUUGGGACAUCAUCGCAGUUGGAAUCACAAGAAAAUAUACAUAAUACACAUUCAACAAAUGUCCUAGAGAUCAAGUGUACUCUAUAUACUAUAAAUAUGAACAACUGUGUGGCUUAUGGUACAAUUCAUUUGUCAACGGGAAAACAAAGCAUUCAUGGAGUUCCACUACAAGAUAAUUGCUAUAGAGUUUCUAUUGAUAAAGUUGUAAAAGAAGCAGCAUUUCUACCGGUAGAAUCAUGUGAGGUCAAAACAGUUGGGGAUGCACUAAAUACUUUUGUUGCUUGGCCAAAAUACCUUGUCAAAACUAGCCAAAAGAUACCAAAUCUAUCAAGCAUUCAAACACAAAACACUACAACUCAAGUCGCUAAAAAGCAAAAGAUGUGUUUUACAACGCUAGAUGGCAACAAAAAACAGGGAGCAAGAAGAACAAGAAAAACACUUU